GACGAACGCUGGCGGCGUGCUUAACACAUGCAAGUCGAACGAAGAGCGAUGGAAGCUUGCUUCUAUCAGUCUUAGUGGCGCGCGGGUGAGUCACGCGUAAUCAACCUGCCUUUCAGAGGGGGACCACAGUUGGAAACGACUGCUAAUCCCGCAAACGAUCUAAUCUCGGCAUCGAGGAUAGAUGAACGGUGGCGUCUACACGUAAGCUAUCACUGAAGGAGGGGAAUGCGUCUGGUUAGCUAGCUGGGGGGGAAAGGGGCUAACAAAGCGAUGAUCAGUAGCCGGUCGGGAGAGGGGGAUGGCCCACUCGGGACUGGGGCCCGGCCCAGACUCCUUCGGGAGGGAGCAGGGAGGGAUCCUCCGCCAUGGACGAAAGUCUGACCGGGCAACGCCGCGUGAGGGAUGGCGGCCUUCGGGUUGUUAAGCUCUUUUAAUCGGGACGAAAGGCCUUCUUGCGUAUCUGGGCACAGAUUGACGGUACCUGAAUAGAAAGCCACGGCUAACUACGUG
rnacentral:rRNA from 1 species